AAGGAUCAUUACCGAGAUUUUAUUUUGUUUUGAAAUAUAAACAAAGUAUCUCCCACCCUUUGUGUUACCAUUUUAUUUUAUACUUUGGUGAAGCGUUUUGGUUUUUCUCUAUGGAAAAUCAAGACCAUCGACUUGAAAGAGUGGAUGAGCCUUUGCCAAAGGACAAAAGCCUUAACUCUUUUUAUUUUGAAUUAAGUCAGAUUUUUAUUUUCUUAAAUAAAACAAAACUUUCAACAACGGAUCUCUUGGUUCUG
rnacentral:misc_RNA from 1 species